CUUAUGAACAUAUUGAAGUCGAGGUUUCCCUGGACGUCAAGCCAUUCCUCUCCCUGUCCUUCCUUUUUUAUCUUAUUAUUCCUGAAGAAUGAAUCAUUGUAAACAGCCACAACACUCAAGUCUGGCCACAGGACCACAGUAAGAAUGAAGAUCAGAUGAUUUGAACUAAUUUUGUGAGAAAUACCACCUGCUCUCAGAAGAUAAGAAACAGAGAAAGAUAAGCAAUAACAUAUGCUAAGGAAUAAAGAACUGGGAGAGAGUAUUGUAUGGAAUAUAGAGAACAAUAAAUUUGAUUUGUCUUUUA